rnacentral:rRNA from 1 species
UACGUAGGGGGCAAGCGUUGUUCGGAAUCACUGGGCGUAAAGGGAGCGUAGGCGGAGAAAUAAGUUAGGAGUUUAAUGUACGGGCUUAACCCGUAAUCUGCUCCUAAUACUGUUUUUCUUGAGUAUGGGAGAGGGAGAUGGAAUUCCAGGUGUAGCGGUGGAAUGCGUAGAUAUCUGGAAGAACACCAGCUGCGAAGGCGGUCUCCUGGCCCAAUACUGACGCUGAGGCUCGAAAGCUAGGGGAG